CCACGCUAGGCGGGGAGCUAGCCGUGCCCUGAACCCGCAACCGGCUAUAGCGGGGCUUAAUUCCCAACCCGAGGCUGUUGCCUGUGGAAACGGGCUACAUGGCGUUAGCAUUGAAGGCUGGGUCCUGCGCGGCGGUAAGGUGUGAAUCCCCCAGGUCCGAAAGGAAGCAAGGGUAAGCACCCAAUGCCGAGCGCCGCAGGGUAGCCUGGCUGGAGCUAACACAUGUAGCUACGCUCGUAGGCAACUGUCGACGGUGGGUGCGUGG
rnacentral:SRP_RNA from 1 species